AUUGAACGCUGGCGGCAUGCUUUACACAUGCAAGUCGAACGGCAGCGCGGGCUUCUUCCUGGCGGCGAGUUGCGAACGGGUGAGUAAUUCAUCGGAACGUGCCCAGUAUUGGGGGAUAGCCCGGCUAAAGCCGGAUUAAUACCGCAUACGACCUUAUGUUGAAAGCGGGGGACCGAAAGUCCUCGCGCGAUUUGAUCUGCCGUUGUCGGAUUAGCUAGUUGGUGGGGUAAAGGCUUACCAAGGCGACGAUCCGUAGCUGGGCUGAGAGGACGACCAGCCACACUGGGACUGAGACACGGCCCAGACUCCUACGGGAGGCAGCAGUGGGGAAUUUUGGACAAUGGGGGCAACCCUGAUCCAGCAAUGCCGCGUGAGGGAAGAAGGCCUUCGGGUUGUAAACCGCUUUUGUUCGGGAAGAAAUCCUCUGGGCUAAUACACCGGGGGGAUGACGGUACCGGAAGAAUAAGCACCGGCUAACUACGUG
rnacentral:rRNA from 1 species